rnacentral:ribozyme from 13 species
AACAAGAGAAGAGAGAAAGGAUACAGGGAAGAAGAGAAAAGUAAAGGAUUUCAGAGAGAGAUCCUCCUUCGAGCCCAGAGACAUGCAGUUCAUGUUGAAUUCUUCUCUCUUCUUCCAUUCUUCUUCUUCUCUCUCUGUGUUCCCUUUUGCAAAAAAUAGAAG